AUUUCACAACUUCAGCAAAAGCCAAAGCAGCCAACAAAGCCACAGCCCUAUCGGCUGUACUGGGCUCUGCCUUUUGGGCAGCUCGCCGGCCACUCCCCAAAAGCAGAGCAUUCCAUCCUUUCUCUUUUUAAACCCACGUCAUCAUCUGAUCAUAAUGGAAAUCAAUCUCCUCAAACCACCAUGCAAAGGCGUAUCCAUGGCAACCUCAAAAGGAAGGACACAGAGAUGAUGCUUCAGUGGCUGCAGCAGGAAAAGCUCUUCGCCUCUCGGUACCUUAAGUAUACCUGAGUAGCCAGUGGUCAACAUGGGUUUGCUGCUCUCCUCACUGCAAUAAAUGACGGUAAGUUUUCAAAUCCCUGCCUCUGAAACAGCAGAGAUCCUUAUCUGUGUGAUUUAGCUGUGGUUCUGUCUAAAGACAAGGGAUGCGCAAGAUGACCUCAAGGAUCAUCUUGCCAGCUAAGGCGGACCCCAGGAGUAGGAUCACACACACAAGUCAUAUCCAGACUCCCAUGCUGUGAGUCCUU
rnacentral:lncRNA from 10 species